rnacentral:rRNA from 1 species
GAUAAACGCUGGCGGCGUGCCUGGGACAUGCAAGUCGAACGAAGGAUCGGGCUUGCUCGAUCCUUAGUGGCGGACGGCUGAGUAACGCGUAGGUGACCUACCCCGAAGUGGGGAAUAACUGCCCGAAAGGGUGGCUAAUACCGCAUGUGGUCGCACGUUCAUUCGUGCGAGUAAAGCCGCAAGGCGCUUCGGGAGGGGCCUGCGUCCGAUUAGCUCGUUGGUGGGGUAAUGGCUUACCAAGGCGACGAUCGGUAGGUGGUCUGAGAGGACGAUCACCCAGACUGGGACUGAGACGCGGCCCAGACUCCUACGGGAGGCAGCAGUCGGGAAUUUUGCUCAAUGGGGGAAGCCCUGAAGCAGCAACGCCGCGUGAGGGAUGAAGGCCUUCGGGUUGUAAACCUCUUUUGUCAGGGGCGAUGAUGACGGUACCUGGCGAAUAAGCCACGGCUAACUACGUG